CAUACCGUUACAUUUAGUCGUCUAUGGGUAACAGACGUUCCCUGACCUCGCGAUUUACUUAGGCAUGUACGAUUAAGCGAGGAAUUUGGCCACAUCAAACUCGAUUUAUUUUGGGAAAGUAAAUCUACCAGAACUUGAUAAAGGAGCAUAUAUUAUAUUGAUCAAACGUAACUAUUAUCAAGACAUUUAAUCAAGACAACACACGAGAGGAUGGAUUUCAAAAUAAGCUUGUUACUCGUACUUGUAACUUUCAGCACUGUAUAUACAAAUCUUACAACAACGGAAUCCUUUCUAUAUAAUGUUUGUAGAGUUCGUACUUUAUGUCGAGAAUAUGUUAGCGAGGGGCGUGAUUGCGGCACUAUGGAGAGUUCUACCAAUAUAUCUGAAGAAUAUAAUUGGAGAUUUUGGUAUGAUAAGACAGUCAAAACAUGUAGAGUUUUUUUAUACAGUGGUUGCGGUGGAAAUAUGAAUAAUUUUUUAACUCGUGAGGCGUGUUACGAUUGGUGUGCAGGUUUUGCAUAAUUCUAGAAACAACUUAGAAAUAAAAUUGUUAAGAAUUUCACAUACAUUUAUAUGUAUUUAUAAUAAUUUGAUAUUGACUUUAAAUAGAAGUACUAAAUGAAAGACGCUGUGAAGUCUUUGUAAAAUGCUUGUAAAAGUAUUUUAUUUUUGCUAUAAAUGACUGUAAUAAAAUAAAAUGUACGGAUGUGUACAUAAAAUAU